CAACACUCACUGUCACAAAGGAAGACUGCCAAUGGACGAGCAAGUAUGAGCAAGAGCUGGGAUUCUGUGUCCGGACAAGAGGCAGGUUCAGGCAGUGUGGGGGCCAAGCUCUCUCAGGAACCAUUCUUUUAACUCCCUCACCAAUAACAUGAGUCUCCCACACCUGAGAGGGUAGGCUACUAUUGUCAUUAAAUUAAAUUCUCACUGUU
ensembl:antisense